rnacentral:rRNA from 1 species
UACGUAGGUGGCAAGCGUUGUCCGGAUUUAUUGGGUUUAAAGGGUGCGUAGGCGGUCCUAUAAGUCAGUGCUGAAAUAUCCCGGCUUAACCGGGAGGGUGGCAUUGAUACUGCAGGACUUGAGUAAAGUUGAGGUAGGCGGAAUUGACGGUGUAGCGGUGAAAUGCUUAGAUAUUCGGAAGAACACCAGUGGCGAAGGCGGCUCACUGGACGACUGUUGACGCUGAGGUGCGAAAGCGUGGGGAGCAAACAGG